rnacentral:lncRNA from 12 species
AUCUCUCGUCUCUCCGCGCGUGAGUGACAUGUGAACUUUCCGUGCACCGGGAAUCUAUUCCUCUCAGUCUGAAGAGAAUCCGUGAUCUGGACGCUGCAACUACUGCCAAGGUUUUCCCACUCAUCUUCUUCUGGGGCAGCAGACUGUAAGCCCCGACACGAAGUCCAGGCCCUCCAGUAUCCCAUCACCCCCUGCGACUAUCCAAGCUGUCACGGCAGGCUGGCCCGCGGGCUUCUGUGCCAGGGCGCGGCAGGACUGGAUACGGCUCCUCCUCCUCCUCCAAGCUGCCCGUAUGUGAAGCUUCUUGCCGUUAGCCGGAAGGAUGCUUCAGUGAGGACAGGUUUGUCAGUUUGAGAGCGAAGCGCUUAAACCAUGUAAUACCUAGUAAGCACGAGGAACAGUCAAGCUGUCGCAUCUGAAUUAACAACGUGAGUGUCAAAGUUUUGACGGUGUGUUGUGCGAUUCUGCAGAAGCACAUUGCCAGCAGAUGGUACGGCUCACAUCCAGACCUGACCUGAGCUUUUAGCACUUCACAAAACUCUGCUGAAAUUCUGCUGCAGCUCAAGGAAAAUUUAAUUGGGGGAGAGAUUCGAUAUGCUCGAAUUUGAUUACGAGACUGACAGUUUUAUGUAAUCAGUUUUGCAAGAACACUUAACAAGAACAACAGCACAAUUUUUACUAUCUCUGAAGAAAAAUAUUUGUGGGGCCAUUUCCAGGUGCUCUAUGUAAAAAAAAAAACAUAUUUGAGCCUCUGUACUCUGAGAUAUUUAAGGUUUUAUUUAAUUUAGGUCAUAAAGUUCACUCUAGGGUUUUAGCAGCUACUUGUUUGUAUCUAAUUUGGUUGCACCGUUAGUUUGUAAGGCAGAAUGAAGCUAGUAAGUGGCAUAAUCGGACAUUAUACCUUUAUUGAUCAAUUAGUAGUGUGGUAUACAUGGCAUUUUAUCGUAUCACGUUUAGCUUUAUUUAACUGUAAAUGGUUAAAAAAAAUCUAUAAAUACUAAUACAGUUAACUGGAAAAAAUAACAUUUAUUAAUGUAAAUGUAUUUUAAUUGAAUUCAAAAAAUUAUGCAUAAUCUAAUUAUAUAAAAGUUAUAUGUUUAAAUAGUUUAGUUAAAUAUUUAAAUAAUAA